CCUACGGGACGCAGCAGUGGGGAAUAUUGCACAAUGGGGGAAACCCUGAUGCAGCAACGCCGCGUGAGUGAAGAAGUAUUUCGGUAUGUAAAGCUCUAUCAGCAGGGAAGAAGAAAGACGGUACCUGACUAAGAAGCCCCGGCUAACUACGUGCCAGCAGCCGCGGUAAUACGUAGGGGGCAAGCGUUAUCCGGAUUUACUGGGUGUAAAGGGAGCGUAGACGGCUGUGCAAGUCUGAAGUGAAAGCCCGUGGCUCAACCGCGGAACUGCUUUGGAAACUGUAUAGCUGGAGUACUGGAGAGGCAGGCGGAAUUCCGAGUGUAGCGGUGAAAUGCGUAGAUAUUAGGAGGAACACCAGUGGCGAAGGCGGCCUGCUGGACAGAAACUGACGUUGAGGCUCGAAAGCGUGGGGAGCAAACAGGAUUAGAUACCCCUGUAGUC
rnacentral:rRNA from 1 species